rnacentral:lncRNA from 1 species
GUUCUAAGUGGCCAGCAUUUAACAGAAAAACAACAGCCAGCAUAUACAACUUGGAGAUUUUCUUGAUUUAACUGUUUUCCAGUCCUGGUUGCCACCCAGCUAGGGCCUUAUCCUGGUUUCAGGCCCUCACAUCUCUCAUUGCAUUUUUGACACUUGGUGGAAGGAGCAGAGGAGUAAAGAGCAAAGGGUUUUAUCCAAGUCAAAAUUCCAGCUGUUCUACCCUGGUCCAGUGGCUCACUCCUGUAAUCCUAGAACUUUGGGAGGCUGAGGCGGGCAGAUCACUUGAGGCCAGGAGUUUGAGACCAGCCUGGCCAACAUGGUGAAACCUCAUGUCUACUAAAGAUACAAAAAAUUAGCCAGGCGCGGUGGUGGGCACUUGUCAUCCCAGCUACUCUGGAGGUUGGGGUGGGAAAAUUGCUUGAACCUGGGAGGCGGAGGUUGCAGUGAGCUGAGAUCACACCACUGUACUCCAGCCUGGGAGACAGAGUGAGAUUCUGUCUCAAAAAAUAAAACAAAACAAAACAAAAACAAAAUUCCAGCUGUUUUGUUGGAUUUUACUUACUUACUUAUUUAUUUAUUUUGAGGCAGGAUCUUGCUAUAUCACCUAGGCCGGUCACAGGCUCCUAGGCUCAAACAAUCCUCCUGAGACAGCCUCCUGGGUAGCUGAGACUACAGGUGCAUGUCACCAUCCUGGCUAAUUUUUUUUACUUUUAAUUUUUUUUAGAGAUAGAAGUCUUACUCAGAUGUUGCUCAGACUGGCCUCAAACUCCCAGCCUCAAGUCAUCCUCCCACCUGGGCCUCCCGAGUAGCUAGGAUUACAGGUGCAAGCUACCACGCCUAGCCUACCUGUUGUUUUAGUAAUUCGACAAAUUUAUUCUAAAUUUAUAUGGAAG